ACGUCCUGCGAGAGAGACGAGCGAGGCUGGAUGAGGAGGGGAGAAGAGAGAAGGACAAUGAGGGGAAAAGAAGUUAUGGGCGGACAGGAGACUGGAGCUCUCCUUUCCCUCUUCCAUCUAUUUCCUUACCAUUCUGACAGUCUCUCAUCUCCUCUCUUCAUUUCAUCGUCUGGCGCUGGAUGGAAAGCCUCAGCUCGAAGCAGAGACGUCCUGCGAGAGAGAAGAGAGACGAGCGAGGCUGGAUGAGGAGGGGAGAAGAGAGAAGGACAAUGAGGGGAAAAGAAGUUAUGGGCGGACAGGAGACUGGAGCUCUCCUUUCCCUCUUCCAUCUAUUUCCUUACCAUUCUGACAGUCUCUCAUCUCCUCUCUUCAUUUCAUCGUCUGGAGCUGGACGGAAAGCCUCAGCACAACUCAAAGCGGUUCCAGUCUACAUUCCCCGAAGUGCGACAACAUCGUGAAGAGUUUUCCAGUCUUUGUACGAGCAGAAGACCAGACGACAAUCUGCACACUGUGGCUUGCAGAGACGUCCUGCGAGAGAGAAGAGAGACGAGCGAGGCUGGAUGAGGAGGGGAGAAGAGAGAAGGACAAUGAGGGGAAAAGAAGUUAUGGGCGGACAGGAGACUGGAGCUCUCCUUUCCCUCUUCCAUCUAUUUCCUUACCAUUCUGACAGUCUCUCAUCUCCUCUCUUCAUUUCAUCGUCUGGAGAUGGAUGGAAAGCCUCAGCUCGAAG